AAGAUCAUACUUCACAGGAUCAUUUCUGUAGUAUGUAUCGCCCGCAUAGUUAAACAACUUUGCACCCCGAGACUCCACGAUGAAGAGGAAUAAUUGGUUGUCCUGAGCGUGAAAAGGACCAUUGCUGAUCUCGUCUGAGGUCAGCUGGUCAUUGAUGAUCGUUCACCCUGUGCCUUUGGGCAUGGGGGAUGGAUGUCCAAUAUUCUGAGUGGU